rnacentral:tRNA from 1 species
AUUACUUUGUCAAAGUGAUUGAGUUAAAUUUAGGGUUUAAAUGUGAUUAAAGUCAAGUAGUA